CAUCUUUCUACUAGCUCUUUCAUCCCUGGACUGACCUGGAACUCUUAGCAAACAAGAACUGAAGGAGGACAGACAUAUGGAUGAUCUGGAUAUCCAUACUCCUGGGACACAGCUCAGGGCCUUCUCCAUCUCUCCUGGUCAGCCACACCGCACAGAGCCACACCACAGCCACAUGGGUGCCACCUGCCCUCCAAAUGCUAUGUUGAGACCAAUGGACAGAAUUGUAGUGCUGCGGAGGACUCUAUGACCCAGGGAAGGCUGGAGCUGAAUAGGGUUCAACAAGUUCUUCCUUAUGACUUCUGUGUUAUCUGCCCCAUGUUCCACGUUCAAAAGGACAGCAACUCCGCAGCUUGUGUGCCUUUAGCCCACCUCCACCUCUUCUGUGGAAUCAAACUGGUAAUAAUUGAAACUGCAUCCUGUCUAGAGCUUUGGAAUACAGGGUUUAAUAACUUAAUAUAUGUAUUCCUUACUGUUCAUGUUGUGGUGACCAAACACCCAAUAAAAGCCAUUUGAAAGAAAA
rnacentral:lncRNA from 1 species